rnacentral:rRNA from 1 species
AGGAAUAUUGGUCAAUGGGCGCGAGCCUGAACCAGCCAAGUAGCGUGAAGGAUGAAGAUCCUACGGAUUGUAAACUUCUUUUAUAAGGGAAUAAAGUCAUCUACGUGUAGGUGUUUGUAUGUACCUUAUGAAUAAGCAUCGGCUAACUCCGUGCCAGCAGCCGCGGUAAUACGGAGGAUGCGAGCGUUAUCCGGAUUUAUUGGGUUUAAAGGGAGCGUAGACGGGUCGUUAAGUCAGCUGUGAAAGUUUGGGGCUCAACCUUAAAAUUGCAGUUGAUACUGGCGUCCUUGAGUACGGUUGAGGCAGGCGGAAUUCGUGGUGUAGCGGUGAAAUGCUUAGAUAUCACGAAGAACCCCGAUUGCGAAGGCAGCCUGCUAAGCUGCAACUGACAUUGAGGCUCGAAAGUGUGGGUAUCAAACAGGAUUAGAUACCCUGGUAGUCCACACGGUAAACGAUGAAUACUCGCUGUUUGCGAUAUACUGCAAGCGGCCAAGCGAAAGCGUUAAGUAUUCCACCUGGGGAGUACGCCGGCAACGGUGAAACUCAAAGGAAUUGACGGGGGCCCGCACAAGCGGAGGAACAUGUGGUUUAAUUCGAUGAUACGCGAGGAACCUUACCCGGGCUUAAAUUGCAGAUGAAUUACGGUGAAAGCCGUAAGCCGCAAGGCAUCUGUGAAGGUGCUGCAUGGUUGUCGUCAGCUCGUGCCGUGAGGUGUCGGCUUAAGUGCCAUAACGAGCGCAACCCUUGUUGUCAGUUACUAACAGGUUCCGCUGAGGACUCUGACAAGACUGCCAUCGUAAGAUGUGAGGAAGGUGGGGAUGACGUCAAAUCAGCACGGCCCUUACGUCCGGGGCUACACACGUGUUACAAUGGGGGGUACAGAGGGCCGCUACCACGCGAGUGGAUGCCAAUCCCCAAAACCUCUCUCAGUUCGGACUGGAGUCUGCAACCCGACUCCACGAAGCUGGAUUCGCUAGUAAUCGCGCAUCAGCCACGGCGCGGUGAAUACGUUCCCG